UACAGCCACAAACAAGUUCAUAUUUUCAGCAACUCGCCAUACAAAUCAACAUCCCAUGUGACUCCAAAAUCAAGCAAUUCAAGAAUCUCUCAAUCCCACACACUAAUUUUAAAUCUAAAUCCAUUAACAAUGCAUAAUGAUGUAUCAAGAAUGCAUCUUCCCGCAACAUCAAAGUAGGCCUUCGGAAAUGACAGCCACACCCUUAUGCCUACCCUUGCAACCUUCCAUAAACCAUUUCUUUCAAUUUCAUCGUCCCACUUUCCCACCUCCCAUUUAUAGGAGCCCUCUCUCUCUCUCUCCCUCUCUCUCAAUGGUAAGGUACGCGUGUGAGCACUCGAGCAGGAAGCUUUGGGCAAGCACGUAGCAAGGCAGGCAACACGAGAGCUGGUCCCCGGCCAUGGCCUCGAGUUCACAAACCUAUCAUACAGUGUGUUCAAGAAAAUUAAAAAAAAAAAAAAAAUAUGGGGUGUGGAUCACCAAGGAGACCUAUCUGCUCAACGACAUCUCUGGGCAGGCGAUGAAGGGCGAGAUCAUGGGGCCCAGCAGGGUGGGGGAGUCGAUGUUUCUUGACGCCUCAAAGGCCAUGUCAAGAUAGAUGGGAAAGCAGUAAGCCUCUCAAGAUACUUACAUACCUUCACACCAAACACACUGUAUACAAUGUUAAUUGUGUUUUCUUUUUGCAGGUGACAGCAAGCUAUAUGAAGAUGAUCUCAUCCUAUGUGAUGCAAUAUGAUCAGCCCUUUCCUGUGCUCACUGUUUUUGAGACAUUCAUGUUUGCUGUAGAACUGAGGCUUCCACCAUCCAUCUCCACAGCUGAGAAGAAGAAGAGAGUUGUUGAGCUUGUCAAUCAGCUUGGUUUAACAAGUGCAAUGCAUUAUGCAGACAUACAUAGGGAAUGAAGGGACAAGAGAAGGGUGUCUACUGGUGUUGACAUAAUCCACAAGCCAUCGUCGUGGAGAAUCCACAAGCCAGAGGAGGCAGCACAGUGCUCAUGACAAUCCAUCAGCAUACUGCUCGCCUGGGGCGUGCUAGCUGUAUCGCCUUUUCUUCUACGUCCUGCUCAGGUUCUAUUCCAAGAAUGAGAGGAAAUGAAUGAACUUCAGUUCAAACUUGAAGAUCUCCUCAUUUGUUUUGCUGUAAACGUUCUAUAUAAAGCUAAUUUUACUUCCUAA